CGACGUGAGUAACCUGCCUCUAAGAGGGGAAUAACAUUCUGAAAAGAAUGCUAAUACCGCAUAACAUAUAUUUAUCGCAUGGUAGAUAUAUCAAAGAUUUAUCGCUUAGAGAUGGACUCGCGUCCGAUUAGUUAGUUGGUGAGGUAACGGCUCACCAAAACUGCGAUCGGUAGCCGGACUGAGAGGUUGAACGGCCACAUUGGGACUGAGACACGGCCCAG
rnacentral:rRNA from 1 species